rnacentral:lncRNA from 1 species
CGGGAUACAAAAAGUCUGAGACCUUGACCAAGCUUGAAACGGUCGAACUCGACAUCCUCUAAGUCGUCGUCGCCUCUAGUUCUCGCUCCAAUAACCUCACUAAAACACCUUCAGCCAUUGCCUAACCACCAUCACCACCAAAUGCCACACCGAUGAAGAUUGAAAGGAGAUCGUUGCAACACCAAAGGUUGAGAAGUUAAAGCAAAACGAAGUAUCCGGUGGGAGACGGUGAUGUAAGAGACAACACACAUGGGCCGCCACGCCCAUCUUGAUGCAUGAAGAAGCUGACAGCUAAGGUGAACUCUGACAUACAUUAAGUUGUUUUUUUUUUUUUUUGUAGAAAAUACUCAUCAACCUUAAUUUUGACAGAUUUUUUUUCUCAAAAAGAGAAUAUGAAAUUCCCACCAGCUUUUAAUGUCUCUUCCCAUUAGCCAAACAUUUACAUGUUUCUAUAUUUUUCAUUACCAAUUUGCCCUUCCUUCAGUUUUCUCCUGUCUCCUACUCUCUUUCAUAUUUUCUUCCUCUCUCUCUCUCUCUCAACCGUCGGCUGCCUCGAAGCUCUCCGGCGCCGAUCUGCUGCAGGAAAAUCUAGUUCGAUGCCGACAAUCGACGCCGCCGACGAUCGAUGACCCUACUCUCUUCCUCUAGUUGGUUGAUUAAUGUUCUCUAAAGUGCAUCUCUCUAGAUCAGAGGCCUCUAGCCUCGAGUUCUGAUUGAAGGAACCAAAUUGAGGUCUACAUGCUCACUAAAUCAGAUUUUUUUGAAGGUAAGUAUGGGUUUCUGCAAGUUUGUUAUUUGGCCAGAAUCUGUGUAAAAUUGAAAUCAAGUUUUGAAACUUAACUAUAUGUGUUUGAUUGAAUUUGAAUAAGACUUAACAUAGUAGUUGAAUGAUCGGUGUGUGGGAUGAUAAUUAUCCAUGUUGUUUGCAAUUGUAAGUUGUGUUCCAGAGUCAUUAAUAUGGGCUUGAUUGUGAUUCAUAGUUGGGGAAAUAAGGUGUAUACAACAAAAGCUUCAAUUUGAUAUGGUAGCCCUUCUAGGUAAAAUCAUGAAGCAAUGGUCUGUAGCUGGGUAGAGUACUAGAGUUUCGGUUAUCGUAUACACACGAUGCUAUGUAUGAAGAAACCAAUAGGUUUUAAUGGCAUUCGCUUGACCACAGUAAUCGUAGAUGACAUGAAAUGUGUGCUUUGCUUUUCAGCUAGGAUGAUAAUUCUCUCUUUUCUUUUAAUAAUUUUUUACUUAUUUUUAUUUUUUGAUCGGUUUUCGAUGUAGUGAUUUCUACCGGAAAACACUCCUAUAUAGGAUGCAAAUUUGCUCCCCACCCUCAUUCCCACCCACCUGGUUGAAUGUCACAUGUCUUAUCUUUUAAUCACUCUAACCAUGGUUAACAACAUUUUUUUUUUGAACAGGAUUUAAAAACAUCUAUUUAUAAUAAGAAAUUAUUUUUAAUUUUACUUUAAACCACUCUUUUCUAUUUUCUAAACAACCCUAACAAAUUUAGUACUGAAGUAAUUAAAAGCAAANNNN